UGCCAUGCUCCCACCUUGAUGAUGAUGGACUAAAAAAACUCUGAACCUUCCAACCUAGGUCACAUUCCUCUCACGUUGGUUGCCGCAUCCUCUGAAGGGGUUACGUCAAGGGAAAUUCGACACCCACCCUUCUCAUUUGCUCUUGGAUUUGCACACUCAUCAGAAGACUAGAGCCAUUUGAUACUUCACAAGAUGAUUGUCCCUUAGCAGACACUAAGGGAAGGGGGAGUCACCUGACCCUCGCAUCUGGUAACUGCGUCCUGUUCCCAUUUCUACUGUUGACUCAAUAAAUGCCCUUGGGCAAGUCACUGAA